rnacentral:tRNA from 1 species
AAAAAGAUAAGCUAAAAUAAGCUACUAGGUUCAUACCCUAUUUAUAAAGGUUUAAUCCUUUUCUUUUUA